ACGUAGGGGGCGAGCGUUGUCCGGAAUGACUGGGCGUAAAGGGCGCGUAGGCGGCCGAUUAAGUCUGGAGUGAAAGUCCUGUUUUCAAGGCGGGGGUUGCCUUGGAGAAUGGUUGGCUUGAGUGCGGAAGAGGCAAGUGGAAGUCCCAGUGUAGCGGUGAAAUGCGUAGAGAUUGGGAGGAACACCAGUGGCGAAGGCGACUUACUGGGCCGUAACUGACGCUGAAGCGCGAAAGCGUGGGGGGCGAACAG
rnacentral:rRNA from 1 species